rnacentral:misc_RNA from 1 species
UAUCCAUUUCUAAGGUCUUGAUCUGCUAGGUAGACAGUAAACUAAAAAUCACAAUUCAGAAGUAGUGUAGAACCAAAUAUAACAAAAUUCUUAACAAAUACUAGCUUGAUGAUAUUUACAGAAAUACACAACCAGAAAAAAGGAAGAAAACUAAAUGAAGAUGCAAAAAUAAAGGAAGCUAAGUUGCAGAGAGGAAACAAAAACAAACCUUUUGUUGAAGUUG